CCCACCGCCGGCAGCAGCGACCGGGCCCCCGGGCCCCAGUCCCCCAGGCGAGAGGACACACGCGUGUCCCCGGUCCCCCGGGCCUCCUCCUCUUCCUCGCCCGCCGCCUCACGGAAGAGCGUGGUGCGGGACGGAGCCGCCCGGUACCGCCGCCAGGGUCAUGAAACAACUUGAAACACUGACUAGCUACAGUAAUCAGAAUGGUCAAGAUACAUGAAUCUCUCCAUCACUGUUUUUUUCUUAAAUCUGCAAUGACUGUUUAAAGGUGGGUGAAGAUGACUCAAAUAAGAUGCAGAAUGCAAGAGGAAAUGAAGAUUAAUAUGACCUGUAGUUAACAGAUACAACACAAAAACAUAUCAUUAAUUUCAAACUGCAUGCCAUUUUACUUCACCCAGCUUUCUGCUAUAGAUGGCACAACUCAGACCGUGUGCAUUUAUUUAGUUACAUGCUUUUGUACGUAUGUUAAGGAUGAGAUCUGAUUUAGCCCUCUGAAGAGACAGACUACAUAAAUGCACAGAUACUUGAAAGCAGAUCUCUCACCAUUUGUUAGACAAACAGGAAACAAGUCAGCGUAAUGAAGCUGCAUCUUUCUUACAAGGCAGCUCUGGUGCCCAAGGAGUCAAAUUCCCUUGGCUGCCUAAGAAACUUGGUUAUUAAACCACAACCUCUGACAAAGCUGAGACCUCAGAGUGUUCUUGGCUCCACCUUUUGGACAAAGUAUGCUUGUGUCGCUCUACCUCUAACCAUAGAAUCAGUCAGUCAACAUACCUAUUAGCAUUAUAUUAGUAUACUAAUAAUUAGCAUAACAAUUAAUAGUAUUAACACAACAAUUAGCACAGUUCCUGAGUGUCUGGCUUGCGACACUGAGGGACUCCGCUCCAUACAGGCCUCCAGCUAGACUAUGUCCCAUUGAUCAAAAUACUGCAGAAUAUAUGUAGCUGUACUGCUAUGACAGUGUUUGUUUUAAUGAUAGAAUUUAUACAGACUUUGUGCAAUAGAAUACAUUAAAAUAGUCUUGAUACUGCAUUGAAUACUUCUGACAUAAUUUUUGCCAUUCAAUGUUAAAAGUACUGAGAUAAACAGAAAAAUAUAACAAAACCUACAGUAAGAAGUUCCCUAGUUCUGUAGUUUAACCUUCAUUAUAGGAGAACAGAAAAGCAGACGUUGUUCUUAACUCUUUCUCAUGCCUUCUUUCUCUGAAGGUGAGAAGUCCAACAGAUGCGCAUUGGGAUGGCAUGGGUGCAGAAGCUUGCCAUCCCUGCUGCAGUGGUGACAGAGCUCCCCUGGGUGCUGUUGAAGUAGCCAGGCUAUAGCACAAGCACAGCAUGAGUCAGAUUGCUAUUCUGCUCCAAGCUACUGCUUUAGCUGUGGACAGGACACCUCUUUACCCAACUCCUCUUUGCUUCUCUCUGCAUCAUCCCUUAACCCAGGCUGACAAAAAGCACAGUCCCUGUACUAGCUGUACUGCUCUUACUGGUGGAGGAAGCUGUGGCUCCCUGCUCAGUGUCACAGCUGGUACCACAUAUCUAGCAAAGGAUACUACCUCUUUGAUUGGCCAGUUUAUUUUAAAAACCAAACCAAGCAAACCUCCAUUAACUGGAACAUCUGAAAUAGUAAAUCUUGGCAUGUAUGGUCUUGGUGAGUAAGCAGGGGUUGAUAAAACUCUCCCUCUAACAACUUUUCCACUAGUUCUGGCAGGAAACAAUGACAGAUUGCUCUGGAAUGUAACUUCAUUUGCUAGCACAGUUAGAUCUGGAAAAUGUUAUUUGUUCAUUUAUCUAGGCUUUUGAUGAAUUAUCCUGUACCUUUCA